GUGGCGAGUGGCGAACGGGUGAGUAAUAUAUCGGAACGUACCCUAGAGUGGGGGAUAACGUAGCGAAAGUUACGCUAAUACCGCAUACGAUCUAAGGAUGAAAGUGGGGGAUCGCAAGACCUCAUGCUCGUGGAGCGGCCGAUAUCUGAUUAGCUAGUUGGUAGGGUAAAAGCCUACCAAGGCAUCGAUCAGUAGCUGGUCUGAGAGGACGACCAGCCACACUGGAACUGAGACACGGUCCAGACUCCUACGGGAGGCAGCAGUGGGGAAUUUUGGACAAUGGGCGAAAGCCUGAUCCAGCAAUGCCGCGUGAGUGAAGAAGGCCUUCGGGUUGUAAAGCUCUUUUGUCAGGGAAGAAACGGUGAGAGCUAAUAUCUUUUGCUAAUGACGGUACCUGAAGAAUAAGCACCGGCUAACUACGUGCCAGCAGCCGCGGUAAUACGUAGGGUGCAAGCGUUAAUCGGAAUUACUGGGCGUAAAGCGUGCGCAGGCGGUUUUGUAAGUCUGAUGUGAAAUCCCCGGGCUCAACCUGGGAAUUGCAUUGGAGACUGCAAGGCUAGAAUCUGGCAGAGGGGGGUAGAAUUCCACGUGUAGCAGUGAAAUGCGUAGAUAUGUGGAGGAACACCGAUGGCGAAGGCAGCCCCCUGGGUCAAGAUUGACGCUCAUGCACGAAAGCGUGGGGAGCAAACAGGAUUAGAUACCCUGGUAGUCCACGCCCUAAACGAUGUCUACUAGUUGUCGGGUCUUAAUUGACUUGGUAACGCAGCUAACGCGUGAAGUAGACCGCCUGGGGAGUACGGUCGCAAGAUUAAAACUCAAAGGAAUUGACGGGGACCCGCACAAGCGGUGGAUGAUGUGGAUUAAUUCGAUGCAACGCGAAAAACCUUACCUACCCUUGACAUGGCUGGAAUCCUCGAGAGAUUGAGGAGUGCUCGAAAGAGAACCAGUACACAGGUGCUGCAUGGCUGUCGUCAGCUCGUGUCGUGAGAUGUUGGGUUAAGUCCCGCAACGAGCGCAACCUUGUCAUUAGUUGCUACAAAAGGGCACUCUAAUGAGACUGCCGGUGACAACCGGAGGAAGGUGGGGAUGACGUCAAGUCCUCAUGGCCCUUAGGGUAGGGCUU
rnacentral:rRNA from 1 species